AUGGAUUUUACAUAAAAAAAUCAGCCAAAAUCUUUCUAAGUAAGUCAUCUCUAGACUUAGUCAAUACAAUAUCCAAUUAUAGAUUUAGAUAAGCCUAUCCCAUAAAUUUCUAUCUUAAGAAACUUAUAAAGAAGCAAGAUAUACAAUAGAAAUUAUAAAGAACAAUUAAGAGCAUAAAAAAAUAAAACUUGUUGAAGUUUGGUUGAAGUUG
rnacentral:lncRNA from 1 species